CAGUAGCCGCGGGAAUACGUAGGUGGCAAGCGUUGUCCGGAAUUAUUGGGCGUAAAGGGCUCGCAGGCGGUUUCUUAAGUCUGAUGUGAAAGCCCCCGGCUCAACCGGGGAGGGUUAUUGGAAACUGGGAAACUUGAGUGCAGAAGAGGAGAGUGGAAUUCCACGUGUAGCGGUGAAAUGCGUAGAGAUGUGGAGGAACACCAGUGGCGAAGGCGGCUCUCUGGUCUGUAACUGACGCUGAGGAGCGAAAGCGUGGGGAGCGAACAGGAUUAGAGACCCGUGUAGUCCCUGUCUCUUAUAA
rnacentral:rRNA from 1 species